GGAUCCAGACUUUGAUCCUGGCUCAGGAUGAACGCUAGCUACAGGCUUAACACAUGCAAGUCGAGGGGAAACGAUAUUGGAAGCUUGCUUCCGAUAGGCGUCGACCGGCGCACGGGUGAGUAACGCGUAUCCAACCUGCCCAUCACUUGGGGAUAACCUUGCGAAAGUAAGACUAAUACCCAAUGAUAUCUCUAGAAGACAUCUGAAAGGGAUUAAAGAUUUAUCGGUGAUGGAUGGGGAUGCGUCUGAUUAGCUUGUUGGCGGGGUAACGGCCCACCAAGGCGACGAUCAGUAGGGGUUCUGAGAGGAAGGUCCCCCACAUUGGAACUGAGACACGGUCCAAACUCCUACGGGAGGCAGCAGUGAGGAAUAUUGGUCAAUGGGCGAGAGCCUGAACCAGCCAAGUAGCGUGCAGGAUGACGGCCCUAUGGGUUGUAAACUGCUUUUAUAAGGGAAUAAAGUGAGCCUCGUGAGGCUUUUUGCAUGUACCUUAUGAAUAAGGACCGGCUAAUUCCGUGCCAGCAGCCGCGGUAAUACGGAAGGUCCGGGCGUUAUCCGGAUUUAUUGGGUUUAAAGGGAGCGUAGGCCGGAGAUUAAGCGUGUUGUGAAAUGUAGAUGCUCAACAUCUGCACUGCAGCGCGAACUGGUUUCCUUGAGUACGCACAAAGUGGGCGGAAUUCGUGGUGUAGCGGUGAAAUGCCUAGAUAUCACGAAGAACUCCGAUUGCGAAGGCAGCUCACUGGAGCGCAACUGACGCUGAAGCUCGAAAGUGCGGGUAUCGAACAGGAUUAGAUACCCUGGUAGUCCGCACGGUAAACGAUGGAUGCCCGCUGUUGGUCUGAAUAGGUCAGCGGCCAAGCGAAAGCAUUAAGCAUCCCACCUGGGGAGUACGCCGGCAACGGUGCAACUCAAAGGAAUUGACGG
rnacentral:rRNA from 1 species